GAGAUGGCCUGGAGGCAGGGUGGCAUGUUGUUUUUAAAGUGAUACAAGAGACACAGUGGAGACCGUCCAAUGAGUGGCAUGGCUGCCAGGAUGCCAACUGGGACACUAAAGCCCUGGCAGUGGGGGCUGCCCAGCAGGGCUGGCCACUAGAAAUAAGUGCAGACUUUUGACCUAUAGAAGUUGAGAUGAUGAUCUAAAAAUUUACCUCCAAGAUGGUUUCAUUUUCAGUCUUUUUAACUAUAGAACUGACUGAUGUAAUUUGUGACAUACUGCUUAUUUUUGAGAUGCAAAUUCAUCUUCUAUCAUAGCCAAAGAAGACCAACAAAGACCAACAGAGGCCAUGUCUCGCAUUCAGCUCCAACAGCAGGCAGUAGAUUUGUUACAGAGACUAAAACCCACCUUAUUGCCAAGUGACCCUCCUCUCACCAGCCUCCCCUGCUGCCACCCAAAUUCCUGCCACUGAACUACUCCUCAAAAUAAAACACAGCUGUAAAAUGC
rnacentral:lncRNA from 1 species